rnacentral:rRNA from 2 species
GGGUUGUGAGGUUAAGCGACUAAGCGUACACGGUGGAUGCCCUGGCAGUCAGAGGCGAUGAAGGACGUGCUAAUCUGCGAUAAGCGUCGGUAAGGUGAUAUGAACCGUUAUAACCGGCGAUUUCCGAAUGGGGAAACCCAGUGUGAUUCGUCACACUAUCGUUAACUGAAU